rnacentral:rRNA from 1 species
CCUAAGGUAGCGAAAUUCCUUGUCGGGUAAGUUCCGACCUGCACGAAUGGCGUAAUGAUGGCCAGGCUGUCUCCACCCGAGACUCAGUGAAAUUGAACUCGCUGUGAAGAUGCAGUGUACCCGCGGCAAGACGGAAAGACCCCGUGAACCUUUACUAUAGCUUGACACUGAACAUUGAGCCUUGAUGUGUAGGAUAGGUGGGAGGCUUUGAAGUGUGGACGCCAGUCUGCAUGGAGCCGUCCUUGAAAUACCACCCUUUAAUGGCUGGUGUUCUAACGUAGACCCGUGAUCCGGGUUGCGGACAGUGUCUGGUGGGUAGUUUGACUGGGGCGGUCUCCUCCCAAAGAGUAACGGAGGAGCACGAAGGUUAGCUAAUCCUGGUCGGACAUCAGGAGGUUAGUGCAAUGGCAUAAGCUAGCUUGACUGCGAGCGUGACGGCGCGAGCAGGUGCGAAAGCAGGUCAUAGUGAUCCGGUGGUUCUGAAUGGAAGGGCCAUCGCUCAACGGAUAAAAGGUACUCCGGGGAUAACAGGCUGAUACCGCCCAAGAGUUCAUAUCGACGGCGGUGUUUGGCACCUCGAUGUCGGCUCAUCACAUCCUGGGGCUGAAGUAGGUCCCAAGGGUAUGGCUGUUCGCCAUUUAAAGUGGUACGCGAGCUGGGUUUAGAACGUCGUGAGACAGUUCGGUCCCUAUCUGCCGUGGGCGCUGGAGAAUUGAGGGGGGCUGCUCCUAGUACGAGAGGACCGGAGUGGACGCAUCACUGGUGUUCGGGUUGUCAUGCCAAUGGCACUGCCCGGUAGCUAAAUGCGGAAGAGAUAAGUGCUGAAAGCAUCUAAGCACGAAACUUGCCCCGAGAUGAGUUCUCCCUGAGACUUUAAGUCUCCUGAAGGAACGUUGAAGACGACGACGUUGAUAGGUCGGGUGUGUAAGCGCAGCGAUGCGUUGAGCUAACCGAUACUAAUGAACCGUGAGGCUUAACCUU